UACGGGGGGGGCAAGCGUUGUUCGGAAUUACUGGGCGUAAAGGGCUCGUAGGCGGCCAACUAAGUCAGACGUGAAAUCCCUCGGCUUAACCGGGGAACUGCGUCCGAUACUGGUGGGCUUGAAUCCGGGAGAGGGAUGCGGAAUUCCAGGUGUAGCGGUGAAAUGCGUAGAUAUCCGGAGGAACACCAGUGGCGAAAGCGGCCACCUGGACUGCACCUGACGCUGAGGCGCGAAAGCGUGGGGGAGCAAACAGG
rnacentral:rRNA from 1 species